rnacentral:rRNA from 1 species
GGAAUCUUCCACAAUGGACGAAAGUCUGAUGGAGCAACGCCGCGUGAGUGAAGAAGGUUUUCGGAUCGUAAAACUCUGUUGUUGGAGAAGAACACGUUUGAGAGUAACUGUUCAGACGUUGACGGUAUCCAACCAGAAAGCCACGGCUAACUACGUGCCAGCAGCCGCGGUAAUACGUAGGUGGCAAGCGUUAUCCGGAUUUAUUGGGCGUAAAGCGAGCGCAGGCGGUUUCUUAAGUCUGAUGUGAAAGCCUUCGGCUUAACCGAAGAAGUGCAUCGGAAACUGGGAAACUUGAGUGCUGGAGAGGAAAGCGGAAUUCCUAGUGUAGCGGUGAAAUGCGUAGAUAUUAGGAGGAACACCAGUGGCGAAGGCGGCUUUCUGGACAGUAACUGACGUUGAGGCACGAAAGUGUGGGGAGCAAACA